AUACGGAGGGUGCAAGCGUUACUCGGAAUCACUGGGCGUAAAGCGCGCGCAGGCGGUCUUUUAAGUUGGAUGUGAAAGCCUACGGCUCAACCGUAGAACUGCAUCCAAAACUAUUAGACGAGAGUGUGGGAGAGGAAGAUGGAAUUAGUUGUGUAGGGGUAAAACCCGUAGAGAUAACUAGGAAUACCAAAAGCGAAGGCAAUCUUCUGGAACACUACUGACGCUGAGGCGCGAAAGCGUGGGGAGCAAACAGAAUUAGAAACCCUUGUAGUCC
rnacentral:rRNA from 1 species